ACGCUGGCGGCACGCCUAACACAUGCAAGUCGAACGAAGUAGCAAUACUUAGUGGCAGACGGGUGAGUAACAUGUAGGUAUCUACCCUUUGGCCUGGAAUAACACGAGGAAACUUGUGCUAAUACCGGAUAAGUCUUUACGGAGAAAGCUUUAUGCACCAUUGGAUGAGCCUGCACUUGAUUAGUUUGUUGGUGGGGUAAUGGCCUACCAAGACUGUGAUCAAUAGCUGAUUUGAGAGGAUGAUCAGCCACAUUGGGACUGAGACACGGCCCAAACUCCUACGGGAGGCAGCAGUGGGGAAUCUUGCACAAUGGAGGAAACUCUGAUGCAGCGAUGCCGCGUGAGUGAAGAAGGCCUUUGGGUUGUAAAGCUCUUUCGUCGGGGAAGAAAAUGACUGUACCCGAAUAAGAAGGUCCGGCUAACUUCGUGCCAGCAGCCGCGGUAAUACGAAGGGACCUAGCGUAGUUCGGAAUUACUGGGCUUAAAGAGUUCGUAGGUGGUUGAAAAAGUUAGUGGUGAAAUCCCAGAGCUUAACUCUGGAACUGCCAUUAAAACUUUUCAGCUAGAGUAUGAUAGAGGAAAGCAGAAUUUCUAGUGUAGAGGUGAAGUUCGUAGAUAUUAGAAAGAAUACCAAUUGCGAAGGCAGCUUUCUGGAUCAUUACUGACACUGAGGAACGAAAGCAUGGGUAGCGAAGAGGAUUAGAUACCCUCGUAGUCCAUGCCGUAAACGAUGUGUGUUAGACGUUGGAAAAUUUAUUUUCAGUGUCGCAGCGAAAAGCGAUAAACACACCGCCUGGGGAGUACGACCGCAAGGUUAAAACUCAAAUGAAUUGACGGGGACCCGCACAAGUAGUGGAGCAUGUGGUUUAAUUCGAAGAUACGCGCAGAACCUUACCAACACUUGACAUGUUCGUCGCGACUCUAAGAGAUUAGAGUUUUCGGUUCGGCCGGACGAAACACAGGUGCUGCAUGGCUGUCGUCAGCUCGUGUCGUGAGAUGUUGGGUUAAGUCCCGCGACGAGCGCAACCCUCACUUUUAGUUGCCAUCAUUAAGUUGGGCACUCUGAAAGAACUGCCAGUGAUAAGCUGGAGGAAGGUGGGGAUGACGUCAAGUCCUCAUGGCCCUUACGUGUUGGGCUACACACGUGCUACAAUGGUAUCUACAACAGGAAGCAAGACUGCGAGGUCAAGCAAAUCCUUAAAAGAUACCUCAGUUCGGAUUGCACUCUGCAACUCGAGUGCAUGAAGCUGGAAUUACUAGUAAUCGUGGAUCAGCGUGCCACGGUGAAUGCGUUCCCGGGUCUUGUACACACCGCCCGUCACACCAUGGGAGUUGGUUCUACCUUAAGGCAAGGUUUCAAACCCUUGACCACGGUAUAGUCAGCGACUGGGGUG
rnacentral:rRNA from 1 species